rnacentral:rRNA from 1 species
UACGGAGGGUGCGAGCGUUGUCCGGAAUCAUUGGGCGUAAAGCGCGCGUAGGCGGCUUCGCAAGUCGGCCGUGAAAUCUCCAGGCUCAACUUGGAGGGGUCGGGCGAGACUGCGAGGCUCGAGGUGGGCAGAGGGCAGUGGAAUUCCGGGUGUAGUGGUGGAAUGCGUAGAGAUCCGGAGGAACACCAGUGGCGAAGGCGGCUGCCUGGGCCUGGCCUGACGCUGAGGCGCGAAAGCGUGGGGAGCAAUCCGGG